GAACUGCUUCUAAAGCCCUGGCGUGGAUACGCACGUGGGGGGAGGGGGGAGGGGGGCGACGCUAGGGAUGAGUUGGCUCCAUUUGCCUGCCCUGGGGAGCAAUCCUGGGGCAAAAUCCAGUACUAAUUGAUCCCAACCAGCCACACUAUCAGCUGAAAAUGUUCGGUUCGAGGGGACAAAGAAUGAGGAAUGUGUGCUAAGCAUUUUUUUUUCCCCAAGUAAAACGCGGAAAGCCUACGGGCCCGCUUAGUGUGUUCCCAGCCGGAGAGAAGAUACUCAUUCCAGUUAGGGACCAUUCUCUCGUCUUCUGGGGUGUUUACUCUCCGGCCGAAAGGUAAGGUAGGUCUGAGUGGCGCGGUGGGAGCGGCGUGGGCCUGCUGGCGGCCGCGGAGGCAGGAGCGGGGAAGCCCCCAGAGAGCUUGGCGCCCUCCGCUCCGAGAGGGCGCGCAGCAGCCGCCUGCCAGCCUCGCAGGCCCUCUCCAAGGAGCCGGCUUUUCAGCGCUUCCAUUUCCUCGGGGCCUCAUCUAUCUUAUCUAACAAGUUCACGCUCCAGGAGAAGAGAAAAGGGUGAGAAUAAAAGGAAACCCCUUCACUGUAGCGAUUCAUCGUUCGCAGGCAUGGAAGCCCUCCUCGCCGACCGUGCUUUCUUCUCCAAGGUUACUUUCUCUCCUGCGCGCCCUAGUACAAAGCCAGAAGGGAGAUACUCACACUGAUGACCUCUUAGCCCCAAAUUAUUGAUCUGUGUGCAUGCUUCCGGUGUGAUGUGCCAACACGAGACAUCUCGGCUGAAAAGGCAAAGGGAGACGUUGGGAUGAAUGGUUCUCGGCGUGCCUGCUGGUCUGCUCACCCCAUGCAGUUUUCUUUCUUCUCAUUCCUUCACAGACCAUCAGAGGAUACACUGGAGGAUUAAAACUAAGGACCUGAGCCCUAACCUCCUUCAUUCUCAUUUACCAUCACCUCUCCAAAUCUUUGUCUUUCCAUUUCCUGACCAUUGUGAAGAAGCUGCGCCCUUUCCUUGGGCAACCAGAGGGGGGGAAAGGAAUUGGCCUUUAGUGUGUGAUUGUCCUAAAGGUGUGGAACCCUUUCUCCAAAUUGAAUGGGGUAAAGAAAUGGAACAGGCUUGCCCUCACAUAAUCAGGGUCUCAACUUUUUCCACAAAUUGUCCAUCCUUGAAGGUCCCGAGUAUACUGGCAAAUAACCGGAAACAAGUAAAAGGGUAGUGGGCAUUUUAUAUUUACAAAAAAUGUGCAGAGCAGUCUGACUGAGAGACUUUUCUAAAGUCCUUUGGCCCUGGGGUGGUCAUAGUCCAUUGUGGAUCUCUGCGCCUGUCUCUCUGUGGAGAAAUAUUGGGAAGACGUUUCUCCCCACUGUGUUUUGUUGCAGGUCUCAGGCCCACUCAUUUCCGUGAUUAUGUACUUGUCUUCAGAGAGCCUGGGACCUCUGGCCGAGUCAAAGAAACCUGCCUGAGAGUCCUAGUCUCAGGGGGUCUCUAUCUAUCUAGUUCUUCCUUCCUUUUUUUCUUUCCUUCCU